CUAACCUUUUCUUUACAAAAAUUCUCAAUUCGAUGCAACAUUAUUAUUCCUUUGCAGCAAAAAAAAGGCUGAAGUCGAAACUUGAGGUCAUCUGCUCCACUAGUUAACAUUGAAGAUUUGUACGAAGUUUCUACUUCUGCAGUCUCCUCCAUUUCUUCUAUGCUCAAAACCUUAUAUCCACACUUUCCUCUCUCACAUCGGGGUUAGUUGGUUGCAGUGCAUGAUAUCGAAAAGGUUGAUCUUAUUGUAUGAUAUUAUCAAGAAGAAAAUGAUGAGAUUAUAAGAAACAUGAUGAAUGAAAGUUCAAGUAAAGUUCAGCAAGGCAAUCAACAAGAGGGCGAGAACAUUAAAAUUGAAAAGUUGUCAAAGGCAGCCUCCACCUCAAGAUCAUGGUCAGCAUUCAGAAACCCAAGAAUUGUACGAGUGUCUCGUUCUUUGGGAGGAAAAGAUAGGCACAGCAAGGUUUGCACCAUUAGGGGACUGAGGGACCGAAGGAUUAGACUGUCUGUGCCAACAGCAAUUCAGUUAUAUGAUCUUCAAGACAAGCUUGGACUGAACCAACCUAGCAAGGUGGUAGAUUGGUUGCUUGAAGUCACCAAAUCUGAUAUUGAUAAACUCCCACCACUUCAAUUUCCUCACUGUUUUGCUCAGUUUCACCAGCAAACUCCACUGUCAGGUACCUCUCAGUUCUCUCUUGGAAGCCUGUAUGAUGGUGUUAAUUCCUCUUUUUUAAAGGAUGGGGGAAACCAAAACCUCAUGACAAAGUCAACAAGGUAUUGGGAUUUAGAUUCUCAAAACCGUACGGAGUUAGCUGAAAGUGUCUCAACCUCCCAGAAGGGCAAGUUCUGGAUCAAACCAAAUGAACUAGAAAAUCAUCAAAAUGGAAUUGUUGGUGUUAGUACUCGCAAUAGAGAAGAAUCUUCAGCUCAUUGUAAGGUCUUCCCCCUUGGGACUAAUAGCUCUUAUUUACCUGGUUUGUCAAACAAUGCCAUCACACAUAACUCCUACCAUCAUUCUGAACCUUCAACUCUAUCUUUAUCCCACCUUGGAAGCCAUGAAUUAUUUCCUUCCCAUCCAAGCAGUGGCAGUAGUGUGCAAUUUUCAUCUUCUAAUUUCUGUGGAGCAUCCGGUCCCCAAUUACUUUUUUGUCCACCUUCUGCUACACCAUCUGCUUUUUACUCGGUGGAAAGCGAUCCAAGACAAUCCAACAGUGUUCAGAUCUUUAGCUCAAGUUCCCAAGUCAUGAUGCCUCAUCCUCUCAUCCAAUCUAUUCAUUCCACCACUUCACCUCUUAGACGCCUUGCAACAUCUUUAAGUUCCAAGCUUUUUGAUUCAGAUAAUAGCGAUCGUAGCCAACAAGGUAAGGGCAGUACUCGUUCUUGAAGCUCCUCAUCAUCUCCCUUUCUGUCGCAAACGAUGUCAACAACGCAAGCAAGAUAUAAGGGUACGUAGUAUCCUUCCAGGAUAUUCUUCAUAUCAGUAUUCAACAGCUAAAGCACAUGAAUUAAAUUUUCGCACUCAGCCGUGAGUCUUAAUUUUAAUGUCAGAUUUAAGCUGAGUGAAACCAAGACAUGCGUAUGAUGCAAAAGGAUCGCAACGGUUCGGCCUAACAGCCAUAAUAAUUACCUCGUGAGAAGGAGCGAGAGGAGAAAGAUAUAAAUAGUGAAGGGAAAUAGGAAAUCGAAAAGGGGUUCAUCUUUGUAGCCUCUUUAACAGCAUAUUGAUGAAGGCAUGGAACUGAUAGAAGCAUGGUUGUAACACAAAGUGAAAAAGUGAGAAAAUGUAUUGGAAUCUGCAGUUUUUCUGAUGAUGAAAAGGAAGCAACAUCAAAUCUGAAGCAGAGUACUGAUCUUGAAAGCAGUCUCUCCUCUUCUGCCUGUAGACAAUAAUAUAUCACAAGAUCCAAGAUUGGGUUUUUAAAGCUCUCUCAUCAAAGAAAAAAAGCCAAAAUUUACAUGGUGGUCCCAAUUCUAAGCUUUUUAUUACUAUCAAAGAAAUAAAGACGAAGCAGUUACAUUU